UACAGAGGGUGCGAGCGUUAAUCGGAAUUACUGGGCGUAAAGCGCACGUAGGUGGCGACGUAAGUCGGGUGUGAAAGCCCCGGGCUCAACCUGGGAAUUGCAUUCGAGACUGCAUUGCUGGAGUACGGAAGAGGAGGGCGGAAUUCCCGGUGUAGCGGUGAAAUGCGUAGAUAUCGGGAGGAGCAUCAGUGGCGAAGGCGGCCCUCUGGUCCAGUAAUGACUCUCAAGUGCGAAAGCGUGGGGAGCAAACAGG
rnacentral:rRNA from 1 species